UGAUGACCUAACGAUGCAUGCCGACCAUGUCUGAUGUUCGAGACCCUGA
rnacentral:sRNA from 1 species